CGGCGAGUGAAGCGGCAACAGCUCAAAUUUGAAAUCUGGCUCCCUUGCGGGGUCCGAGUUGUAAUUUGCAGAGGAUGCUUCGGGUGCGGCCACGGCGCAAGUCCCUUGGAACAGGGCGUCAUAGAGGGUGAGAAUCCCGUCUUGAGUCGCUGGCACGCGCCCAAGUGAAGCUCCUUCGACGAGUCGAGUUGUUUGGGAAUGCAGCUCUAAGUGGGUGGUAAAUUUCAUCUAAAGCUAAAUACUGGUCGGAGACCGAUAGCGCACAAGUAGAGUGAUCGAAAGGUUAAAAGCACCUUGAAAAGGGAGUUAAACAGUACGUGAAAUUGUUGAAAGGGAAGCGCUUGCAACCAGACUUGCGCGCGGCCGAUCAUCCGGUGUUCGCACCGGUGCACUCGACCGCGCGCAGGCCAGCAUCGGUUUGGGUGGCUGGAGAAAGGCCACGGGAAUGUGGCUCCCCUCGGGGAGUGUUAUAGCCCGCGGCGCAAUGCAGCCCACCCGGACCGAGGACCGCGCU
rnacentral:rRNA from 1 species